CCUACGGGAGGCAGCAGUAGGGAAUAUUGCUCAAUGGGGGAAACCCUGAAGCAGCAACGCCGCGUGGAGGAUGAAGGUUUUCGGAUUGUAAACUCCUUUUGUUAGAGAAGAUAAUGACGGUAUCUAACGAAUAAGCACCUGCGAACUCCGUGCCAGCAGCCGCGGUAAUACGGAGGGUGCAAGCGUUACUCGGAAUCACUGGGCGUAAGGAGCGCGUAGGCGGGAUAGCAAGUCAGAUGUGAAAUCCUAUGGCUUAACCAUAGAACUGCAUUUGAAACUGUUAUUCUAGAGUAUGGGAGAGGUAGGUGGAAUUCUAGGUGUAGGGGUAAAAUCCGUAGAGAUCAAGAGGAAUACUCAUUGCGAAGGCGACCUGCUAGAACAUAACUGACGCUGAUGCGCGAAAGCGUGGGGAGCAAACAGGAUUAGAUACCCUUGUAGUC
rnacentral:rRNA from 1 species